GGGGAUGUAGCUCAUCUGGUAGAGCAAUAGGUUCGCAAUCUAUGUGUAGGCGGUUCAAGUCCGCUCAUCUCCA
rnacentral:tRNA from 1 species